rnacentral:rRNA from 1 species
GUCUGGUGCCAGCAGCCGCGGUAAUUCCAGCUCCACUAGCGUAUAUUAAAGUUGCUGCAGUUAAAAAGCUCGUAGUCGGAUCUCGGGAUCGUGUCGGCGAUUUGGUUGCUUCUCCUGCGUUUCGGCGUUGGGGGUUGUGGCCGGUCGUCGGCCCUGCCGGCGAGGUCCCUACCUUUGGUGGGGUUCCACCUCGCUCGUGCAGCCCGCCGUCGCGAUUUGGCGGGUGUCCUUAAUUGGAUGCCCGUCUCGAUCGUGACCAUUUUACCUUGAACAAAUCGGAGUGCUCAAAGCAGGCUCUUCAUCGCUCGUACGGUAGCGCAUGGAAUAAUGGAAAAGGACUUGCUUCCGCUUCUGUUGGUCUCACGGAGGCAGGUAAUGAUCAAGAGGGACGGAUGGGGGCAGAGGUAUGUCUCGGCGAGAGGUGAAAUUCUUGGACCCUAGACAGACCCUCGAGAGCGAAAGCAUCUGCCAAAGAUGUUUCCAUUGAUCAAGAACGAAAGUCGCGGGAUCGAACGGGAUUAGAUACCCCGGUAGUCGCGACCGUAAACGAUGCCAACCGGGAAUUCGGCGGCGUUACUUCCAUGACCCGUCGAGCGCCCGACCCGGGAAACCGAGAGUCUUUGGGUUCCGGGGGGAGUAUGGUUGCAAAGCUGAAACUUAAAGGAAUUGACGGAAGGGCACCACCAGGAGUGGAGCCUGCGGCUUAAUUUGACUCAACACGGGGAACCUCACCCGGCCCGGACACCGCGAGGAUUGACAGACUGAGAGCUCUUUCUCGAUUCGGUGGGUGGUGGUGCAUGGCCGUUCUUAGUUGGUGGAGCGAUCUGUCUGGUUAAUUCCGAUAACGAACGAGACCCCAACCUGCUAACUAGCCCUCGGGUCCUGCUUCUGUUGGGCCCGACGGAAUGAUUCGCUUCUUAGAGGGACUCGCGGCGCCUAGCCGCACGAAGGGGGGCGAUAACAGGUCUGUGAUGCCCUUAGAUGUUCGGGGCUGCACGCGCGCUACACUGAAGGCAUCAGCGUGCGCUUUUGCCGUUCCCUGCCUGAAAAGGCCGGGUAACCCGCUGAACCGCCUUCGUGCCUGGGAUAGGGAUUUGCAAUUAUCUCCCUUGAACGAGGAAUUCCCAGUAGGCGCGAGUCAUCA